rnacentral:rRNA from 1 species
AUUGAACGCUGGCGGCAGGCCUAACACAUGCAAGUCGAACGAGUGGCGGACGGGUGAGUAAUGUCUGGGCAACUGCCCGAUGGAGGGGGAUAACUACUGGAAACGGUCGCUAAUACCGCAUACCAUCGGAUGUGCCCAGAUGGGAUUAGCUAGUAGGUGGGGUAACGGCUCACCUAGGCGACGAUCCCUAGCUGGUCUGAGAGGCUGACCAGCCGAACGGGACAUGGGAAACGGUCCAGACUCCUACGGGAGGCAGAAGUGGGGAGUAUGGGACAAUGGGCGAAGGCCUGAAGCAGCCAGGCGGCGUGUAUGAAGAAGGCCGUCGGGUUGUAAAGUACGUUCAGCGAGGAGGCGUUACUCGAAGAAGAAGCAUCGGCUAACUCCGUGCCAGCAGCCGCGGUAAUAC